UUGAACGCUGGCGGCAUGCUUUACACAUGCAAGUCGAACGGCAGCGCGGGCUUCGGCCUGGCGGCGAGUGGCGAACGGGUGAGUAAUGCAUCGGAACGUGCCCAGUAGUGGGGGAUAGCCCGGCGAAAGCCGGAUUAAUACCGCAUACGACCUGAGGGUGAAAGCGGGGGACCGAAAGGCCUCGCGCUAUUGGAGCGGCCGAUGUCGGAUUAGCUAGUUGGUGGGGUAAAGGCUUACCAAGGCGACGAUCCGUAGCUGGUCUGAGAGGACGACCAGCCACACUGGGACUGAGACACGGCCCAGACUCCUACGGGAGGCAGCAGUGGGGAAUUUUGGACAAUGGGGGCAACCCUGAUCCAGCCAUGCCGCGUGCGGGAAGAAGGCCUUCGGGUUGUAAACCGCUUUUGUUCGGGAAGAAAUCCUCUGGGCUAAUACCCCGGGGGGAUGACGGUACCGGAAGAAUGAGCACCGGCUAACUACGU
rnacentral:rRNA from 1 species